rnacentral:rRNA from 2 species
GAAUUGACGGGGGCCCGCACAAGCGGUGGAGCAUGUGGUUUAAUUCGAUGCAACGCGAAGAACCUUACCUGGUCUUGACAUCCACGGAAGUUUUCAGAGAUGAGAAUGUGCCUUCGGGAACCGUGAGACAGGUGCUGCAUGGCUGUCGUCAGCUCGUGUUGUGAAAUGUUGGGUUAAGUCCCGCAACGAGCGCAACCCUUAUCCUUUGUUGCCAGCGGUCCGGCCGGGAACUCAAAGGAGACUGCCAGUGAUAAACUGGAGGAAGGUGGGGAUGACGUCAAGUCAUCAUGGCCCUUACGACCAGGGCUACACACGUGCUACAAUGGCGCAUACAAAGAGAAGCGACCUCGCGAGAGCAAGCGGACCUCAUAAAGUGCGUCGUAGUCCGGAUUGGAGUCUGCAACUCGACUCCAUGAAGUCGGAAUCGCUAGUAAUCGUGGAUCAGAAUGCCACGGUGAAUACGUUCCCGGGCCUUGUACACACCGCCCGUCACACCAUGGGAGUGGG